rnacentral:rRNA from 1 species
GAGGGGCUCGCGGCCUAUCAGCUUGUUGGUGGGGUAACGGCCCACCAAGGCUACGACGGGUAGCUGGUCUGAGAGGACGAUCAGCCACACUGGGACUGAGACACGGCCCAGACUCCUACGGGAGGCAGCAGUAGGGAAUAUUGCGCAAUGGGCGAAAGCCUGACGCAGCAACGCCGCGUGGGGGAUGAAUGCCUUCGGGUUGUAAACCCCUUUCAGCAGGGACGAAAUUGACGGUACCUGCAGAAGAAGCCCCGGCCAACUACGUGCCAGCAGCCGCGGUAAUACGUAGGGGGCGAGCGUUGUCCGGAUUUAUUGGGCGUAAAGAGCUCGUAGGCGGCUCAGCAAGUCGGGUGGGAAAUCUCCAGGCUCAACCUGGAGCCUUCGCCCGAUACUGCUGUGGCUUGAGUCCGGUAGGGGAGUGUGGAAUUCCCGGUGUAGCGGUGAAAUGCGCAGAUAUCGGGAGG